UAAAGGUAUAAAGGGCUCACGGAGGAUGCCUAGGUAGCAGGAGGCGAAGAAGGGCGUGGCCAGCUGCGAAAAGCCGCGUGUAGGUGCAAGCGACCGUAGAAGCGCGGAUGCCCGAAUGGGGAAACCCACCAGGUAGAGAUAUCUGGUAUCCCGAAAGGGAAGCGAACCUUGCGAAUUGAAACAUCUUAGUAGCAAGAGGAAGAGAAAUCGAAGAGAUUCCCUGAGUAGCGGCGAGCGAAACGGGAAAAGCCUAAACCGAUGCAGUGUAAGCGUACGGGCGUUGCUGAAUCGGGGUAGAGGGAUAUUGACGGGCCUGACCGUACAGGGCCGGAUGAAGCGAAGUGCUAGUCGAAUUACCUUGGAAGGUAAACCGGAGAAGGUGAAAGUCCUGUAGGCGAAAGCGUGGAGCUAGUCUUAUCAGUAUCCCGAGUAACGCGGGGCACGAGGAAUCCCGCGUGAAUCUGGGGAGACCACUCUCUAAGGCUAAAUACUACCUGCUGACCGAUAGAGAAAAAGUACCGUGAGGGAAAGGUGAAAAGCACCCCGGGAGGGGAGUGAAAGAGUACCUGAAACCGUGAGUCUACAAUAAGUGGGAGCACGAAAGUGCGACCGCGUGCCUUUUGAUUAAUGAGCCUGCGAGUUACCGUAACUGGCGAGGUUAAUCCGAUACAGGAGGAGCCGAAGGGAAACCGAGUCUUAAUAGGGCGGCAGUCAGUUGCGAUAGACCCGAAACCGGGUGAGCUAUCCAUGGGCAGGUUGAAGGUGGGGUAACACCCACUGGAGGACCGAACCAGUUAGCAGUAAAAAGCUAUUGGAUGACCUGUGGAUAGGAGUGAAAAGCUAACCGAACUCGGUGAUAUCUGGUACUCCUCGAAACGUGUCUAAGCACGGCCUUGCAUGGUUAGUGGAGGGGGUAGAGCACUGAUUGGGCUAGGGGGGCGACCUCCGACCUCAGUCAAACUUCGAAUACCUCUACUCAAAGUGCAGGAGACAGACUGCGAGCGAUAAGGUCCGUAGUCGAGAGGGAAACAGCCCAGACCACCAGCUAAGGGCCCAGAGAGAUAGCUAAGUGUUAAAGGAAGUGGAGAGUCAAAGACAGCUAGGAUGUUGGCUUAGAAGCAGCCAUCAUUAAAAGAGUGCGUAACAGCUCACUAGUCGAGACUCACCGCGCCGAAGAUGUAAGGGGGCUAAAGCUAUCCUCCGAAGCUGUGGAACAGGAAACUGUUGGUAGAGGAGCAUUGUGUUGUAGGGAGAAGGUAGACCCGUGAGGGCUGCUGGACGAGACACAAGAGAGAAUGCAGGCAUGAGUAUACGAAAGGAGAGUGAGAAUCUCUCCCCCCGAAAGCCUAAGGGUACCUGGGGAAGGUUCGUCCGCCCAGGGUUAGUCGAUACCCUAAGGGGAACCCGAAAGGGGUAACCGAUGGGAAACCGGUUAAUAUUCCGGUACUGGCGUAGCACGAGUUAUGGGGUGUGACACAGGAGGAUAGGCGUUGCGUACUGGUUGCAUAGUGCGUCUAAGUUUCGAGUCUUAUGAUCGCGGCAGGAAAAUCCACCGCGGGAGGGUGAGGGACGAAUGGAAGUUCCUUCGGGAGCAACAACGUUGAGUUCAUACUGUCGAGAAAAGCAUCGCAUAGCGUUGAGUGGUGAGCCAAUCGUUCUGAAAACCGACACAGGUAGGCAAGCUGAGAAGGCUAAGGGGAGCGGGAUAACUCCUGUUAAGGAACUAGGCAAAUUAGCCCCGUAACUUAGGGAGAAGGGGUACUCUGGUUGGUUAAUAGCUGACUGGAGUCGCAGUGACAAGGCAGCGGCGACUGUUUACCAAAAACACAGGGCUCUGCGAAUUCGAUAAGAAGACGUAUAGGGUCUGACGCCUGCCCAGUGCUGGAAGGUUAAGGGGAAAGGUUAGCGCAAGCGAAGCUUUGAACCGAAGCCCCAGUAAACGGCGGCCGUAACUAUAACGGUCCUAAGGUAGCGAAAUUCCUUGUCGGGUAAGUU
rnacentral:rRNA from 1 species